UGGUCCGUAUAUACCUCACAAGAUACACCAUAAAGAUAAUGCCUCCAAAUUUUUAAGGCAUGUACAAUUGCAGCUAACUCUAAGUCAUGAACGGGAUAUUUCUUCUCACGGGGCUUUAGCUGAUGAGAGCACACGCAAUAACUCUACCCUCCUGCAUCAACACACAACUGAUCCCAAAUCUUGAAGCAUCACAAUACAUCGUGC
rnacentral:lncRNA from 1 species